rnacentral:lncRNA from 1 species
GUCAAAAAUUCUUACUUUUUUUUCUUAUUCUGAACUUUCAGACUGGCUGAAACCACCACGGUUGUUUACAAUUUAUGCUCUAACUUUGGAUCACCUAGUUAAUACUCUAACUCCGAUUAUUACCAAAGACAAUGUUCUAUAAAAGAUAUUGUCUAUUAGAAGGAUGCUUCUGCAUUAUUAAUAAAAUCACAGGGAAAAUGCAACAUUUUGGAUGUCACAUCUGAUAAGUGGGUGACUGAUCGUACCCGCCAGCUGGCUAAUGUCAUAAUUAACAAAGUUGCUACUACAUCUGCAAAGUUUAAUCGAAAAAUUUGCCAGUGAUAUGAUGGCCUUGUCACAGAGAUCACAAGGGACACGGAGUUGACUUUUGCUCAAGGUGGAACGACAGAGCUGUGUAGGCAAGAUGAGAAAUUGCGAACUUGUUCGGCCAAAGGAGGCUAAUAAUGAAGGGGCCGGGAAGGAGGCCAGUGCUACCAGGGUUAUCUCACAACCUCAGAUGCUGGAUAAGUCGACGGAGGCAGAAUCGCUUUGGGAUGACAUUCAGAAAGCCUGGAGUGAUUACUUGCAAGAGAAAAGCCUACCUAUUCUUUCCAAGGUGCAGGAAUAUUCCCCUGACCUGCUCAUCCAGUGGUCCAGUAAUGAAUUACUGGAGACCUGCCUUAGACAAAGAAUGCACUCGGAGCCCCAACACACCUAAAGCCAUGCUUUGAAGGAUCUGCCAAGCUCACUUUUAAUCAUGAGAAAGAAAUUACCCACACGGAGUCAGCAGAAAAUGAGAAAGUAGAGCUCGUGC